UACGUAGGGUGCGAGCGUUAAUCGGAAUUACUGGGCGUAAAGCGUGCGCAGGCGGUUUUGUAAGUCAGAUGUGAAAUCCCCGAGCUCAACUUGGGAACUGCGAUUGAAACUACAAGACUAGAAUAUGUCAGAGGGGGGUAGAAUUCCACGUGUAGCAGUGAAAUGCGUAUAGAUGCGGAGAAAUAUAAUGUCGAAGGCAUCCCCCUGGGAUAAUAUUGACGCUCAUGCACGAAAGCGUGGGGAGCAAACAGG
rnacentral:rRNA from 1 species